GAGACAGCAGUCGCCGCGGUAAUACGAAGGGGGCUAGCGUUGUUCGGAUUUACUGGGCGUAAAGCGCACGUAGGCGGAUCGAUCAGUCAGGGGUGAAAUCCCAGAGCUCAACUCUGGAACUGCCUUUGAUACUGUCGAUCUGGAGUAUGGAAGAGGUGAGUGGAAUUCCGAGUGUAGAGGUGAAAUUCGUAGAUAUUCGGAGGAACACCAGUGGCGAAGGCGGCUCACUGGUCCAUUACUGACGCUGAGGUGCGAAAGCUAGGGGAGCAAACAGGAUUAGAUACCCCUGUAGUCCCUGUCUCUUAUAC
rnacentral:rRNA from 1 species